rnacentral:rRNA from 1 species
AGUGAACGCUGGCGGUAGGCCUAACACAUGCAAGUCGAACGGCAGCACAGUAAGAGCUUGCUCUUACGGGUGGCGCGUGUCGGACGGGUGCGGAAUACAUCGGAAUCUACUUUUUCGUGGGGGAUAACGUAGGGAAACUUACGCUAAUACCGCAUACGACCUCCGGGGGAAAGCAGGGGAUCUUCGGACCUUGCGCGAUUGUAUGAGCCGAUGUCGGAUUCGCUAGUUGGCGGGGUAAAGGCCCACCAAGGCGACGAUCGGUAGCUGGUCUGAGAGGAUGAAUAGACACAUGGGAAGAGAGAAUGGGCAGAGACACCGAAGGGAGGCAGCAGUGGAGAAUCUUGGAGAAUGGGCGAAAGCGUGAUACAGCAAAAUGGGGUGAGGGAAGAAGGAGUAAGGGUUGGAAAGUGAUGAUGUCGGGAAAGAAAAGAAGCAGGUUAACACCCGACGGUAAUGACGGUGCCGAAAGAAUAAGCACCGGCUAACUUCGUG